rnacentral:rRNA from 1 species
UACGAAGGGAGCUAGCGUUGUUCGGAAUCACUGGGCGUAAAGCGCACGUAGGCGGACUUGUCAGUCAGGGGUGAAAUCCCGGGGCUCAACCUCGGAACUGCCUCUGAUACAGCAAGUCUUGAGUCCGGAAGAGGUGGGUGGAAUUCCUAGUGUAGAGGUGAAAUUCGUAGAUAUUCGGAGGAACACCAGUGGCGAAGGCGGCUCACUGGCUCGAUACUGACGCUGAGGUGCGAAAGCGUGGGGAGCAAACAGG